GAUGAACGCUGGCGGCGUGCCUAAUACAUGCAAGUCGAACGAGGUGCUCUUGUAGCAAUACGAGGGUAUCCUAGUGGCGAACGGGUGAGUAACGCGUUGGUGACCUGCCCCAAAGUGUGGGAUAACAGUCCGAAAGGAUUGCUAAUACCGCAUGUGGUCCUCGGAUUUAGAAACCGAUGACUAAAGCCGCAAGGCGCUUUGGGAGGGACCUGCGUCCCAUCAGCUAGUUGGUGAGGUAACGGCCCACCAAGGCUACGACGGGUAGGGGACCUGAGAGGGUGGCCCCCCACAAUGGAACUGAAACACGGUCCAUACACCUACGGGUGGCUG
rnacentral:rRNA from 1 species